AUGACUUGGGUGAAGAAUCAACCAGACUUCCUCUCUUCCUCUCUUGAGCGCCCAAUGGUUGAAUGACUUGGGUGAAGAAUCAACCAGACUUCCUCUCUGGAGGUAGGUAAGUAUUGCUUACAUUAAUAGAAAUCAUGGAUCUACAAUUGCCAAAACUAGAGUUGGAAAAUUGUGCGGGAUAGGUCAAAAUGGGUCGUGCCUGUUUAAGCCCAUCAAUACUUUUUAUGUCCAUUUUGUAUAUACUUUAGACUACUAUUUCUUUUUAGCUAAUUUUCCUUCUACAUUCGACCCGUUAGCAAUGAAAUACAUGUUUGAACUUCGUUGACACAGGCAGAACCGCGGUUCCUAUGGAAUAACUAUAUGUUGGAGCUUCUUAUAGAUAACAAGGUUU
rnacentral:lncRNA from 1 species